CGCAUCUCAUCCCCAGACACCCCAGUAGUAGAGAACCGUGCUCGAGGUUCAAUUUGGCCGGAAGUGACCAGCCAGUCUUGAGCUGCGCCGAACCCCAGAUACUUUACUCUGGAGUCGCCCCACCCCCGGGAUGGUCCUGAGCCGACUGAAGGCCCGCGCAGCUAGAGAAAAUGGGUGGUGAGGAAGACAGCAAGAAAGACGGGAAGGAAAUAGGAUCAGGAAUGGGAGGGGCUGGAAUCCCAGCAAGUCCCAAGUUCCGGUUCAGAGGAUCACCGGAGCUCCCAGGGCGGUGGGAAGAGGACAAGUGCAAAGGGAAGGAAAGGAACACUUGUUUUUUUUCUGGCGGGAACUUCACCUCCGGGCAGGAAGCUAGUCAUCCAGGCAGAGCAGGCGCACCUCCCUGUGGCUAAGCUGCAAAUGGACGUGAUCUCGUUCCCCGACUCGCGAGCCCGGAGAGCGGCAGGGAGAACGUGAGUCGCGGCGACUCCUCGCGGGUCUCGAAGCCGCGCUCCGACCCCUGGGACGAGAAGACGAACCCGGCAGGAGGAGCGUCCCGGGAACGCAGGGCGAAGGAAGGCGAUGUGCACACGCCUCGGAGAGUCAGGGCGCCCUUCGCCUGGCGGUUCCAUGGUGUAAUGGUGAGCACUCUGGACUCUGAAUCCAGCGAUCCGAGUUCAAGUCUCGGUGGGACCUUCCCCUUUGGGCCAAGCCACAGCUACCUUUUACUCUCUUCUCCAAUACCGAGCGACUGACACCUGCCUUCCCGCUCCCGCUGCCCCCGCUCCGGGGAGGGAAACUCCGGGGGCCUCGCGCGCAGGUCCGGCUUGGGCGCCUCGCAGCCGCGUGCUCCGCGCUCCGCCGCCUCCUCCUCAGGAAUCGGGGACCCAGAAGCCCGCGUCUCAGAGUGCCCCCCACACACACACACUCCCCACGGACACAGCCGGGCCACCGGGCCAGUGCCGCCCCUCGUCGGGGUGCCCCUCGGGCCUCGGGAUAAAAGGCGGCGGCGGCGGCCACUAAAUCCUGCACCGCGAGGGGCGUCCCGCCGCGCGUCCUGAAAUUGCACCCAUUAGCCUGCACGCGUAGAAAACGACAGCAGUAAGAAACAGCGCUCCUUACCUCGGUCGUGCGGUGGCGAGACUGAAGUUUCGGGUCCCGGGUUCAAGCACAAGGUUGGGUGCUUUUCAUUUAAUUUUUCUCGGAUCCUUUCCCACCAGCUAUCAGAAAUCCCGAGUCUCUGUUCAGGCGAGUAGGGGUCGCGGUUGUCCUAAACUUUGUACUUCAGUGUGGGGCGUCUCCUCCGUAAACCCUAAACCCGGGGAAAGAGAGAUUCUGGCCGGGGAUUCUCUGUGCCUGACCUGCGGCCGACCUCGGGCCUCCUCCGGGGGCGAAGGUGACAGGAGCAAGGGCAGCUCCGAGUCCUGACCUGCGGGGCUCCCCCUCUUUCCUGGGGCGGCUCUGCUCCACGGAGAAGACGCCUUAGGAGGGGACAUGAUGGAAACACGCCGGUUCUCUUCUGCUGGGUAGAAAAAUCCGGUCCCAAGUUCUGAAGGAUCUCAUAGCUAGUGAAAAUGUUCGCCGCCAAAUCUCUCUUAGUUUUGAAACUUCCACCAGUUCACAAAGGACUGUAAAAUACAACUUUUUCAAAGGCUCGCUUUGAGGUUCUGAAAAGCAAGGGGGUGAGGGCCGGAAGGCGGGAGGGGAGAAACGGGAAAGCGGAGACCGGAGGAGAAAGGAGAUAGGAAGGAGAAGGGGAGGGAUCCGAGGGCGGGGAGCCUGGCGUUCGCAGCGCUGGUUCAGUUGCGCUUCUGGCUCAGUCUGCAGAGCUCCCGCAUUUGGGUUGAAUCUCCUUGAUCCCCUGAGAACUUCGGCUCUGCCUGGAAAGUGGAACGUAAGUUCCUGGCGUUUGUCCUUGCUCUUUUCAUUAAUUGUGGAAGUCGGAGUAGGAGGGUAAAUAGACCUGAAAGUUAUUGGGAGCCAGAUUAAGACCUUGUUGAAUUCCUUGGCCUUACCUGGCAAGUAGACUUUCUCUCUCUCGCCUUGCAAGACGGCUGCGGGCAGGACAGGCUUUGCGAGGGUCGAAGCACCCAAGACCAUGAAGAUGUCAGGGACUAGUUGUUCGCUGGACUUGUGGUGGCUGAGCAGACUAUGUCCUUCCAGAGCGUGGAGUUGGGGGUCUGGCCAGGAGACUGAGCAAGGGGGCCAGUCAGGGUUAAUCAAGAGGCUUUCCCCGAAGCAUCGCAGACAUUCCUUUUUGACCUCCGCUUUCUUUACUGGAGCGAUUCUUUUAAUGGAACUGCAUUUAUGCAUAGAUUUUAAUACCCUUUUCUGGCUAACUAUAACCGCACUCCGUACCAAGACCUGAGCUCCAGACUUUGCUUCGAGGAGAAGAUGCCCUUCCUUUAUAUUCUUUAGUUCAAGCCCAGUGUCUGUCUGGUGACCAGGACAGCCCCUCACAGCUGCCCUCAGGUUAGGAAGAGCUGAUGCUCCACCACUCCCAGCCCCUCUGCAGCCCCACGUAUAUGUAUGGCUUCAACCCAUACAAGCAUAUCCUAGGCCUACAUCUUUCAAAACUUCUUUCCCCGUUGCAGAGUGAUACAGUUUGCUUCUUGUCCUUCUUGUUGACUACCCAGCACUCCAGCAUUUUUCUUCUUUUGUUUUUGGAAUUAUUGCUCCUUUUUUUGGAUAAUGUCUUCCUUGUACUGUUCAUGAAGGUGCUCUGCCCUCAUUUGCUCAAGGAGAGGGCAUUGACUCAAGCAACCAAUCCAGUACCUCCCUGGAAUAUGAAACUGGGGGGGGGGUGACCAAAGAGUAAAUAAACCUUAGGUUUAUCCACUUGAAAAAAAGAGUCCCUGAAAACACUGGUCAUUUGUUCCUGCUAUUUGUAUCCUAUGUGGCCCAACUGUGAAUAUGGAGCUUACAUAGUUAAAAUAAUUGACCCAUCAAAUUAUGAUACAAAUAUACCAGAGGAUAAAGCAAGAGGAGGCGUGUUUGGGUGUGGGGGUGAUAAUAGAGGAGUAUGUGAGAGAUAAUGUUUACAGUUUGAAAGUCAAGGAGUAGUAAAGGGGGGUUGCUGUUUUCCUAAAUAAACUUACAAGUAUGUAUAACUUUGAUAAAAAUUUGUCCCAAAUGUAAACAAUUCCUUUGCCAUAUAUGUACAUAUGUGUGAAUUUAAAGUUUAUUAUUUGUAUCUUGAAUAUACAUUUUUAUGUAGUCAUAUUAUUGGCUCUUUUCAUGGAAGAAUUCUGGGUUUGGAGUCUUGCACAGAGCAUUUUCCCACUGCAGGUCUAUAAAAAUAUUAGCAAAAAUAGGUUCAAACAAAACAAUAGGUAAGUACUAUCCAAUUUUGGCAAAACAUUGGAAAAAAGAAUAUUUUCAUAAAAUGCGGGGAAUAUGACCUGCUACAUUUUCUUUUCAGGGUAGUUAGGCAGGCAUUAACAAAAUUUGAUUUGACAAUUCCAUUUUUAGGACUCUGGAGAAAAGGAGAGGAGUGAUGACAGAUAUUUGUAUAAGGGUGUUCCCUGCAGUAGUAUGUGUGAUAAUAAAUAUUGGAGCCAAUUGCAUCACCAUCAAUUAGAGACUGUUUGAAUAAUGACUCAUUUAUAUCAAGAAGGAUCUUAACUAAAAAGAACAAAGCAGAAGCCUGAGGGCAUGGGAGACAUUGAGGCCAAGAGUCCUUUGGUUACCUAAAUUUGGGCGACGACUUGGAGCCCGAAUGAGUGGAGAACUCCCAGGAUCAAACAUCAGGUGCCCGGGUGACAACCGCAGCCUCUCGGUUUGAAGUCAUCUAUUUUCCGAUUCUUUGCUCCACUUCAUCUGUCCUGCUCCCCUCGAGUCUCCUCAGAUCGCGGGGGGGGGGGGGGGGGGGGGGGGGCACGGGCGCGCGCGUGAAGUACUAGAAUCAGCCGUUCCUCCACCGCGCUACCUCCUGGAUGCCUCUAGAUGGUAACUCAAUGGGGGCAGGGACGUUGGGUUUGCUCACGAUGCACCCCCCUCGUUUACAAUAUUGUCUGGGACUUAGUAGGCUCUCAAUAAAUGCUCCGUGAAGGAGUCCAUUCCGCCGCAGAGGCCUGGAGGGGACAGGAAAGGCACCAAGAAUUUCACCUUGGUUCUGGAGAAUCCCCUGAAUGGGGAUUUUAGUUCUGGAGAAUCCCCUGAAUGGGAAGACGUGGAAGCCGGCCAUUCUUUAUACUGGAAGCUGGUUUAGAACGAGGUCAAGGUCCUGGUCGUGGAAACGUCUAGAGGACACCACCUAGAACGUCACUGAGCUCCCCGACCCAGGACGGUGCGGCGGCCUCAGCCUAGGGGACGCGGGUGGGCACAGGGAGAAAGGUGAUGAAGAGAGCUGAAGAAGAGAAGGAAGUGGGUGGGAGUGAGGGCAGUCUGGAGUAAGAGAAAGAAAGGGCAAAGGGAAGAGGAGUGAAAAGAAAGCUGAGAGACACCAACACUAGCCAGUAAAAGAAAAACCAGUUAAAAAACGUUGAGGCUUUUUAGAUCAGUUAAUAGGUCUCAACCACAGCGCCGCAGGUUGUCGUUGGCGUGCGGUGAUGGUACAGUGGUUAGUACUCCGCGUUGCGACCCUAGUAACCUUGCUUUAAUACGAGUUAUGAAGUCAUCUAACUCGCUAUUUUCCUCUUUACACAACCCCCCACCCCAGUAAAGCUGGCGAUAUGGUGCGAUUUCCCACUAUGAAACUGGAGACUGUGAACAGUUGUACCAGGCUCUCCAGGUCCCACGUGGCGGAACUUCGAGCCUCAGCCUACGACAGGGAGCAGAGACCUGCCUGACUUGGGGAAAGGCCGAAAGUCGCCCAAAGGCUAGGUCUGCAGCGACCGCAGUCCCCACCCUUAUCCCCGCCCCUAGAGGCGAGGCAAAGACAGCAAAAGCGCCAGACCUGCUUUGAGGAAGGUCUCUAUUUCUCUGCCAUUCCAGACCAACAAAAUGAAAAUCUGCUUAUAUCUACAACUUUAAAACUACAAAGACUCUGUGAAUAGGAGGAAAAGAUCAUGGUCUUCUUUUCCUAUGGUGUCUUCUUGAAGUAGAUCCAGGGUUUACGGAGGAGACGCCCCACACUGAAGUACAAAGUUUAGGACAACCGCGACCCCUACUCGCCUGAACAGAGACUCGGGAUUUCUUCUGAUAGCUGGUGGGAAAGGAUCCGAGAAAAAUUAAAUGAAAAGCACCCAACCUUGUGCUUGAACCCGGGACCCGAAACUUCAGUCUCGCCACCGCACGACCGAGGUAAGGAGCGCUGUUUCUUACUGCUGUCGUUUUCUACGCGUGCAGGCUAAUGGGUGCAAUUUCAGGACGCGCGGCGGGACGCCCCUCGCGGUGCAGGAUUUAGUGGCCGCCGCCGCCGCCGCCGCCUUUUAUCCCGAGGCCCGAGGGGCACCCCGACGAGGGGCGGCACUGGCCCGGUGGCCCGGCUGUGUCCGUGGGGAGUGUGUGUGUGUGUGGGGGGGGCACUCUGAGACGCGGGCUUCUGGGUCCCCGAUUCCUGAGGAGGAGGCGGCGGAGCGCGGAGCACGCGGCUGCGAGGCGCCCAAGCCGGACCUGCGCGCGAGGCCCCCGGAGUUUCCCUCCCCGGAGCGGGGGCAGCGGGAGCGGGAAGGCAGGUGUCAGUCGCUCGGUAUUGGAGAAGAGAGUAAAAGGUAGCUGUGGCUUGGCCCAAAGGGGAAGGUCCCACCGAGACUUGAACUCGGAUCGCUGGAUUCAGAGUCCAGAGUGCUCACCAUUACACCAUGGAACCGCUAGGCGCAGGGUGCUCUGACUCUCCGAGGUGUGUGCAUUUCGCCUUCCUUCGCCCUGCGUUCCCGGGACGCUCCUCCUGCCGGGUUCGUCUUCUCGUCCCAGGGGUCGGAGCGCGGCUCCAAGACCCGGGAGGAGUCGCCGCGACUCACGUUCUCCCUGCCGCUCUCCGGGCUCGCGAGUCGGGGAACGAGAUCACGUCCAUUUGCAGCUUAGCCACAGGGAGGUGCACCUGCUCUGCCUGGAUGACUAGCUUCCUGCCCUGAGGUGAAGUUCCCGCCAGAAAAAAAAAAACAAGUGUUCCUUUCCUUCCCUUUGCACUUGUCCUCUUCCCACCGCCCUGGGAGCUCCGGUGAUCCUCUGAACCGGACUUGGGACUUGCUGGGAUUCCAGCCCCUCCCAUUCCUGAUCCUAUUUCCUUCCCGUCUUUCUUGCUGUCUUCCUCACCACCCAUUUUCUCUAGCUCCCUCAAUCUCCUCCUUUCCUUCCUUCUUGGCUACUGCUCCUUUUCCUUCUCUUCCCUUCAACCGCCACUCUCCAGGCCAGCGUAGUAUUGGGCUACCCAGCCUGAGAGGACGAUGAGGAAGACCUUUCUCUCUGGUCAGGGCCCUUUCGGGGUCCAUGUUGGGGAGGCGGAGUGAGGUGGCCCCAGAGGAAUGACUGAGGGUCCACAGCCAGUCCCCAAGAUCUGGGCAGGACGGGCUGCUCCAAGGCGACUGGGUGGCUGGGGCGACCCAAAACGGCAACAUCGUGUUCCGCAAGCUAAAUCCGACAGGCAAAGUCCAGGGAAAUUGAAACCUAAGGGCUACCUAGUCCUUUGGAAGCCGUUGUAAGUGGAAGGACCACGGCGCCUCCCGUGGUCCCCGCAGACACGGCGUCCUGGGGUCCGCAUCACCUAGGAUGCUACAACGUCUUGUCCGAAGAAAACCAAUCCAACUUCCCAGUUAGACGAAGGUCCGCUCGAACCCAGACGCUUACCAAGAAAUCCCCCCCCCCCCCCCCCGUCCUCCUGGAGGUGUCGGGAGCCCUAGAGCCGCGCCCUCUGGGCCUCCGUCCUGGGGGCGCUGCCGAGUCCCUGUAUGAGGACUUUGGGCUGAGUCUCAGCGCUUCGCCACACUUAACUGUCCUUUUAAGGUGCGCCCAGCGCAGCCUCGCCCCAAGGAGAGCUCCUGGGUCCAAAGAGUAAAAUCAGACGGCAUUGCCCGCUUCAAUCCAGGACAGAGAGUCCUCUCCCUAUUAUGAAUGGGAUUCGAACGGGAGCUGCCACGGCCCCUGUACCCCACGCCAUGAGCAAGGCUGGACACCCAAGACCUGAGGUGGUGUGGUCAGGUGUAAGUAGGUGACAGCAUUUUCUCCUGGGCUUUUUCCUUGGUGGCUAUAUCUGCAUCUCUCUAUCUCUCUCUUGUUUUUUCUCUCUUCUCACUGGUUGUCCCACCCUCACCUUUCUCUUCACCCUUUCCCCCGCUGGCGUCCCCACAGGCUGAGGGUGCCGCAAGGCCCUGGGUGGAGAGCUCAGUGCAAUUCCAGGUGGUGCCCUCUAGACGUUUCCACGAUCGGGACAUUAACAUGAUUCAGCUGCCAGUUUUAAAAAACAACCAGUUUUGAAAGUCUUUCACAUUCUCCCAUUCCGGGGUUCUUCUAGAACUAAAACCUAAGAGUCCACGGUGACAUUUUUGGUCCCUCCCAGCACCCUGCUGCGGAACGCAUCUUCACUGAGCAUCUAUUUGGUGCCUAUUGGUGCUCAGCCCUGCUGUGCACAGGGGCUGCAUGGUGAGUAGACCCCAGGUCCCACCUGAUGGAGCCCUCCUCUGAAGGCACCGAGAGCAGGCAGCAAGUUGGGGGGCACAGCAGUUUCGUGUCUUUCCCAGAGCACCUGUCCUGGCUGAGGAACUCGAGGUGAGCGCGACAGGUGACACUAGGGAAGAAUGGCAAAUGGAUGACUUCGGCCCAUGAGCCUGUGAUCGUCACCUAGAGCAGGGAGGCUUUGGGGAGAGGCCCCUGGGCCCGGCAUGAGGCCUCGAGUGCUCACUCGCUAGUAUCAGUGCCCCAAAACUCUGCCCAAUAUCAAGACUCAAUGUCUCCAUUGCCAGUGCCAGAGGGUUUUAAGUGUGUUUUAAGCAGAGGAUGGAGGGGUUGGGGAGCAAGUUCUCACCCAUAGCAACACUGAGAUUUUGUAAUAACCUGGUCUCGGUGGUAUAAUCAGCA